UGAUCCUGGCUCAGGACGAACGCUGGCGGCGUGCUUAACACAUGCAAGUCGAGCGGAAAGGCCCUUCGGGGUACUCGAGCGGCGAACGGGUGAGUAACACGUGAGUAACCUCCCCCAGGCUUUGGGAUAACCCUCGGAAACGGGGGCUAAUACCGGAUAUUCAUUCCUAGCGGCAUCGUUGGGUGUGGAAAGUUUUUCGGCUUGGGAUGGGCUCGCGGCCUAUCAGCUUGUUGGUGGGGUGAUGGCCUACCAAGGCGACGACGGGUAGCCGGCCUGAGAGGGCGACCGGCCACACUGGGACUGAGACACGGCCCAGACUCCUACGGGAGGCAGCAGUGGGGAAUAUUGCACAAUGGGCGGAAGCCUGAUGCAGCGACGCCGCGUGAGGGAUGAAGGCCUUCGGGUUGUAAACCUCUUUCGACAGGGACGAAGCGCAAGUGACGGUACCUGGAGAAGAAGCGCCGGCCAACUACGUGCCAGCAGCCGCGGUAAGACGUAGGGCGCGAGCGUUGUCCGGAUUUAUUGGGCGUAAAGAGCUCGUAGGCGGCUUGUUGCGUCAGCUGUGAAAACCCGCAGCUCA
rnacentral:rRNA from 1 species